AGACGAAGAGCAUAUACCAGUUAAACUCCGCCAUUUUGCCUCUCAGUGUUCAAGCUUGAGCCUACGCAUCCAACUCCUGAGAUCUUACUGGGAAGCUGCUGAUCAUCAGUUUCAGGUGUUUCUGUCUUUUGGGAGACUGCCUUUCCCUGAUGCUGGCUGUAACCAAUUAUUAUUUUAGAGAGACAGUUAAUGACCACCUGACCAUCACCUGACGGUCAGCUGACAUUCCUGGUCGGGAGGAGCCCUCUCCUCCCCUGCUUAUGUCUGCCUGACUUCCUACUGUAACGGACGCAGCCAGCUGGAACAUCGGCUUUGCUCGCGUUAAUCAAAAAUUGGAAGUACAUGGAAUUAGAACCUUUGGCCAGAGACUUUCCGAGUUGAAAGCCCUCCCUUAGAAAUAGCCUCUUCUAACCCCUGAAUUUCAUUAUCCAAGAAGAUCCAUGAGCUCUGGAGAGUUCAGGACCCAGGUCUCCUAAGGACUUCUGCUUCCCUGGCUUUCCUUCACAUCUUUCUGUCCUAAGGAUUUAAGACCAUGAAUUUGCAAAUGCUCUGCCUGAAGUGUGUACUGAAGCUCUGGAGACCUCACCCGGAUUCCCAGGGCCAUAAUUAUCAUAAUAAUGAAGUCAGCAUGGAUCAGCCUUACGUUCAUGGCCUCCAGGCCCUAUUCUCCUGCCUCACAGGGACCGGCCAGGAUCUCUAUCCUUACAGCACGUUGGAAUGUAUAUGCUCCUCUCCCCACAUCGCCUUAGGGAGCAGGCAGGUGUCAGGGGCAGCACAAGGACGGCCAACAGGACAGGUGCAUAAGUAAGACUGAUACAAUUUGAGGGCUCAGCUCUGAGAAUACUCUAAACAGGAUCCAAAUAACAUUGUUGCCUCCUAACCAGCAGGUGGGAGCUCAAGAGAAAGACUAGACUUGUUCCACAUUAAAUAAGUAAUAGUAUUUUUUUCCUUGAACAUCUUGAUCAAAAUAUCAAUUAAAUGUGUGGCCCUGAUUCAA